GACGAACGCUGGCGGCGUGCCUAAUACAUGCGAGUAGAACGCUGAAGGAGGAGCUUGCUUCUCUGGAUGAGUUGCGAACGGGUGAGUAACGCGUAGGUAACCUGCCUGGUAGCGGGGGAUAACUAUUGGAAACGAUAGCUAAUACCGCAUAACAGUAGAUAUCGCAUGAUAUCUACUUGAAAGGUGCAAUUGCAUCACUACCAGAUGGACCUGCGUUGUAUUAGCUAGUUGGUGAGGUAACGGCUCACCAAGGCGACGAUACAUAGCCGACCUGAGAGGGUGAGCGGCCACACUGAGACUGAGACACGGCCCAGACUCCUACGGGAGGCAGCAGUAGGGAAUCUUCGGCAAUGGACGGAAGUCUGACCGAGCAACGCCGCGUGAGUGAAGAAGGUUUUCGGAUCGUAAAGCUCUGUUGUAAGAGAAGAACGAGUGUGAGAGUGGAAAGUUCACACUGUGACGGUAUCUUACCAGAAAGGGACGGCUAACUACGUG
rnacentral:rRNA from 1 species